UACAGAGGGGGCAAGCGUUGUUCGGAAUUACUGGGCGUAAAGCGCACGCAGGCGGCUUUGCAGGUUCGACGUGAAAGCUCUCGGCUUAACUGGGAGAGGUCGUUGAAAACUGCAGGGCUUGAGGCAAUGAGAGGGGUGUAGAAUUCCCGGUGUAGUGGUGGAAUGCGUAGAUAUCGGGGGGAAUACCAGUGGCGAAAGCGGCACCCUAGCCUUAGCCUGACGCUCAUGUGCGAAAGCGUGGGGAGCGAACGGG
rnacentral:rRNA from 1 species